rfam:Oryza brachyantha chromosome 4, whole genome shotgun sequence.
AAUAAGAUCAGUUUUUAGUUUAUAGAUACAAUGUUUUGACUUUUCGUCUUAUUUGAAAUCUUUGUGUGAUUAAUAUUUUUAUUAUUACUAGAUGAUAAAACACAAAUAGUACUUUAUGCGUGACUAUUUUUUUAAGAUUUUGUACAAUUUUUUUAAAUAAGACGAAUGGUCAAACGUUGGACACAGAAAUCGAAAAAUAAAGUUAUU